ensembl:lncRNA
GUGUGUGACAGAAAGGACAUGCCGCCAACGAGACAUAUGAGGCCGGGCAGGCGAUUGCUAACGCGGUGGUCAAUCAUGGAUCAGGGAAAGCGAAGGCAGGAGCGUGAGGUGAACUGAAUUUCAGGCAUCCAAAAGGCAUCCAAAAGGCAGUGGCGGCGACACCUGUGGAGGAAAUCCAAAGCCCGACCGUGCGGAAGGCAGAUGGCGGUGACAGAGGCGACCCCGUUCAGGGGGCCACCCUCGACGGCGAUGACGUCCAGCUAGAGGCCUGGAAGAUGGCCGGCAAAGGCGAGGUGGUUCAGGCUGAGCUGGAUCGGGCAGCGGUGUAGAGGCGGCAGAGGCUGGACCAGGCGAGGAUGCUCGGGGCCAGGCGGCAGCGUGGCAGCUGUGGAUGGUGACGCUGCAGGUGACGGUGUGAAAGCCGCAUCUCCAUUUUUCAGAACAUAAAGUUCCAGGUUGCAUUUAUUUUCUUAUAUUCCACUUUCACUUUUAGUGGUUUAUGUUUUCAGUUUCACUUAGGUGUGUUAGAGUUUCAGAUUGGGGAAUUUGUCUCUGUCUUCAUAUGAGAUAAGUGAGAGGGCAGACCCAGUGUCAAACUCCAUUUGUAACUCAACCUCUUGUAUUUUUGGUGUGAGCCAUAUUGCCUCCUUAUCUUUCUCUUGUAUUGUAUUUAGCUCAAGGCAUGCCAAUUCCUCCUGAGAAUCAUUUGAGUCUGUCUUAUUUACUUCAUGCUACUUCACCUGCUCCAUCCGAGCCACAGGCCUCCACACUGUCUGGUCCAAGCCAUCACCAUCAUCAACGUCCCCCAAAGCUACACAGUCUGGGUCAUUGGCCCACACAGUUUUUAGAUGCACUUUUGGACAGAUUUAUGAACUUUUUUAAAAUUUAUUCAUGAUUUUUAAAAAUUAGUCAUGGUCCCUUUGCCUCGCAAAUGGACCCCGUGUUACGCAACAUGUUUUGUUUUCUGCUCUCUCUCUCCUCUGCCGGGGCGGUGCUCAUUACAGGCUCGCGCCACUGGCCCACGCACCUGUGUUCAAUCUCCACACCUGCCACUGAUCUCCACUCAUCCUGAAGCCCUACUUAAGACAGCAGCGCUUUGCUACUCAUCGCUGGAUCGUUGAGCAAAAGAUUUCUGAGACAUGUCAUGAAAGAAUGAACAAAAAAUUGAUAUAGACAAACACUGUUCCUCGGUGCACAACACGGUCAGUGUUUAAAGUAGUGUAAACUGGUUUCUUUGACAUUAAUGUGUUGAUGCAGGUAAAUAAACACACAGGUGACAGUUUCUGUUUAUUGUGGUUUGAAGGCAUGCAGUGAAAAUCUAUAAAUGUGUUUAGUCAUGGAUCAGAUUCAGAGUAGCCCAUUAUAGAACUCACGAGUCUGUUCAACACACGAACCAGCUGAUUUUGUAUUCAACCAGUAAGAAUGACGA